UUUAACAUCAAUUAUAACAAUUGAUGUUGUAUUAACUUAUUUAACAUCACUUCAAUAAAAUUGAAAUAAAUAUAUAUUAACUUACAUCACUAAUAAAAAUUGAUAUAAAUAUGAGUUUACAUAUAUAAUUGAUACAUUUUAUAAUUUUCAGUAACAUUAGUAAUAUAAAUGAUACAAAGUUAAUAUCACUUAAAUAAAAGAUGCAAAAUUUAGUAAUAUAAUCAUACGUAGUUUGACAUCAAUUAAACAUUUGUUUUAUCAUCAAAAAUAAAAAUAGCCUAGAUUGAUGAAAUACAGUUAUUGUUUUUUUAUUUGUUUUAAUUACUUUUUGUGAUUUUAAUUUAACUGCCUCAUGAUCUUCUAUCAUUUUUUUCUCUUAGUAAAAUCAUAUUAUUUUUGUCGUAAUCUCUUCUCAUAGUCUCCUUCAUUCCUUUCACUUCCUCUUAACUUUGAAAACUUAUUAGUUUAAAAUUUAUUGUUAUUGUUGUAAGUAAAGAAGAUAAGAGAGGAAAUUGGUGUGUAUUAUUCCAUGAGUAAUGAGUCCUUUAUAUAUGAUUACAAUAGCUUGUGGACAAAACCACUUGGAGAACAAGUAAAGCUUGGAGAACAAGUAUAUUUAAGACUUGCCAUAAUGGCAUCACCAUAAUAUUCAUAACACUUCCCCUUGAUGUCCAUUAUGCGCGUAAGUUGCUGCCUCGUUAAAAACCUCACCAGAAA
rnacentral:lncRNA from 1 species